CCCCAGGAGCUUUACUAUAGCUUGGUAUUGAUGUUAAGGUUUGACUGCGUAGCAUAGUGGGGAGACUUUGAAGCGAUUCUUUCGGGAUUCGUGGAGUCGUCAGUGAAAUACCCAUCUUUCUUUCUUUACCAUCUAACUCCAACGGAAAAAACGUUGGAAAACAGUGCCUGGUGGGUAGUUUUAAUGGGGCGUUAUCCUCCUAAAGAGUAACGGAGGAGUCUAUUAAGGUCAGCUAAGGUCGGAUGGAAAUCGACCGCAUUGUGUAAAGGCAAAAGCUGGCUUGACUGCAAGGCAUACAAGCUGCGCAGGUGCGAAAGCAGAGCUUAGUGACCCGACGGUUCAUUAUAGAAAGGCCGGAGACAUCGGCUAAAAGCUACCCUGGGGAUAACAGGCUAGUGAGAUCCGAGAGUCCCUAUCGACGAUCUCGCUCGGCACCUCGAUGUCGGCUCGCCCUAGCGCGGGGCUGGAGAAGGUCCCAAGCGUUUGGCUGUUCGCCAAUUAAAAGGGCACGCGAGCUGGGUUUAAACCGUCGUGAGACAGGUUGGUCUCUAUCUGUUAGAGGCGUUGAUGUUUGAAGGAAGCUGCCCCUUGUACGAGAGGAUCGGGGUGGACGAACCACUGGUCUACCGGCUUUGGUACCAACUGAAUUGCCGGGUAGCUAUGUUCGGACGGGAUAACCGCUGAAAGCAUCUAAGCGGGAAGCCUCUCCUAAGAUUAGACAUCGUUUGAGACUCCUGGAAGACUACCAGGUUGAUAGGCUUCAAGUGUAAGCAUGGUAACAUGUGUUUACUGUUGAAUUAUUUAAUGGUUUAGCUGAGAAGUACUAAUAUGUCGAU
rnacentral:rRNA from 1 species